UAGAAGCUAUAAAUAACUUUAUUCUAUGUUAAGAUGGAGCAAGAAGGGUUUUGGAAUUCUAUGGUUGAUUGACAGGAAUGGAAUGACAGUUGGAAGAGCAAAGGCUUACGGUAGAAGAACAGUGGGCUGAGGGGAUUCUGAACACCCCCUGGGUCUUCUACCUCAGGACUGAGAGCUGAAAGGUUUGGUUUCUUGGUGGCUGAAGAACUUCUGAAGCCACUAGUGAAGACUCUGCUUCUUGCCUUAAACCAGUAGCUGUUUUCUCUCCAGAAAUCCUAUUACUGUUUCCUCCACCUGCUGCAAGCAUCACAGACCUUGAGGGGUGAAGAAUAAUGGAUGCCCCAAGUCUCUGAAGAAUUUAAGUUGACAGUCAACUAAAGGACAACGGGUAGACCAUAGCUGGCAUUAGUGAAAUGCAAUAUGUUUCCUACAAAGAACUGCACAGUAAAAUAUCAUAAGUUAAAGAGGAAGAUGAUAUAUUCUACUGAAACUGUUCUGGGUCAGGAAGACCCGAGUUUAAAUCACUACUGAGACAUUGACCAGUUGUUGUGACCCUGGAACAAGUUAACAAGUCUUUUGAUCAAUCAGUCUAUCAACUAACUCAAACCUUAGCUGUAAUGUGCUACUAACACAGGGGAUUUCUCCUAAUGACAAAAUUAUAGGCAAUAUCUGCUAAAUGUUUUUUAUUAAAAAAAAUGUGUGACAUUUAUAUGACUUCUUGUUGGGGUGUGAGGAGAGAUAUAGAAUUUGAUUAAAGUUUUGUCUUCUUCAAAAAAAAAUUUCUUCCCAAUAAAGAAUUUCUUCCCAAUAAAGGUCAUACAAUCAUUAUCUAACCUUGUCUAUUUGUUUAUCAUGUCUCUUUUUAAUAUAAGACUUUUGGGGGGAGGAAUAAAAGAGUAAGAUAUUAUUUAAUACUUAAUUUGUAU